rnacentral:rRNA from 1 species
CGCGCGAUACAGGGUGACAGCCCCGUACACAAAAAUGCACAUGCUGUGAGCUCGAUGAGUAGGGCGGGACACGUGGUAUCCUGUCUGAAUAUGGGGGGACCAUCCUCCAAGGCUAAAUACUCCUGACUGACCGAUAGUGAACCAGUACCGUGAGGGAAAGGCGAAAAGAACCCCGGCGAGGGGAGUGAAAAAGAACCUGAAACCGUGUACGUACAAGCAGUGGGAGCACAGAGCAAUCUGUGUGACUGCGUACCUUUUGUAUAAUGGGUCAGCGACUUAUAUUCUGUAGCAAGGUUAACCGAAUAGGGGAGCCGAAGGGAAACCGAGUCUUAACUGGGCGUUAAGUUGCAGGGUAUAGACCCGAAACCCGGUGAUCUAGCCAUGGGCAGGUUGAAGGUUGGGUAACACUAACUGGAGGACCGAACCGACUAAUGUUGAAAAAUUAGCGGAUGACUUGUGGCUGGGGGUGAAAGGCCAAUCAAACCGGGAGAUAGCUGGUUCUCCCCGAAAGCUAUUUAGGUAGCGCCUCGUGAAUUCAUCUCCGGGGGUAGAGCACUGUUUCGGCAAGGGGGUCAUCCCGACUUACCAACCCGAUGCAAACUGCGAAUACCGGAGAAUGUUAUCACGGGAGACACACGGCGGGUGCUAACGUCCGUCGUGAAGAGGGAAACAACCCAGACCGCCAGCUAAGGUCCCAAAGUCAUGGUUAAGUGGGAAACGAUGUGGGAAGGCCCAGACAGCCAGGAUGUUGGCUUAGAAGCAGCCAUCAUUUAAAGAAAGCGUAAUAGCUCACUGGUCGAGUCGGCCUGCGCGGAAGAUGUAACGGGGCUAAACCAUGCACCGAAGCUGCGGCAGCGACGCUGAUGCGUUGUUGGGUAGGGGAGCGUUCUGUAAGCCUGUGAAGGUGUGCUGUGAGGCAUGCUGGAGGUAUCAGAAGUGCGAAUGCUGACAUAAGUAACGAUAAAGCGGGUGAAAAGCCCGCUCGCCGGAAGACCAAGGGUUCCUGUCCAACGUUAAUCGGGGCAGGGUGAGUCGACCCCUAAGGCGAGGCCGAAAGGCGUAGUCGAUGGGAAACAGGUUAAUAUUCCUGUACUUGGUGUUACUGCGAAGGGGGGACGGAGAAGGCUAUGUUGGCCGGGCGACGGUUGUCCCGGUUUAAGCGUGUAGGCUGGUUUUCCAGGCAAAUCCGGAAAAUCAAGGCUGAGGCGUGAUGACGAGGCACUACGGUGCUGAAGCAACAAAUGCCCUGCUUCCAGGAAAAGCCUCUAAGCAUCAGGUAACAUCAAAUCGUACCCCAAACCGACACAGGUGGUCAGGUAGAGAAUACCAAGGCGCUUGAGAGAACUCGGGUGAAGGAACUAGGCAAAAUGGUGCCGUAACUUCGGGAGAAGGCACGCUGAUAUGUAGGUGAAGUCCCUCGCGGAUGGAGCUGAAAUCAGUCGAAGAUACCAGCUGGCUGCAACUGUUUAUUAAAAACACAGCACUGUGCAAACACGAAAGUGGACGUAUACGGUGUGACGCCUGCCCGGUGCCGGAAGGUUAAUUGAUGGGGUCAGCGCAAGCGAAGCUCUUGAUCGAAGCCCCGGUAAACGGCGGCCGUAACUAUAACGGUCCUAAGGUAGCGAAAUUCCUUGUCGGGUAAGUUCCGACCUGCACGAAUGGCGUAAUGAUGGCCAGGCUGUCUCCACCCGAGACUCAGUGAAAUUGAACUCGCUGUGAAGAUGCAGUGUACCCGCGGCAAGACGGAAAGACCCCGUGAACCUUUACUAUAGCUUGACACUGAACAUUGAGCCUUGAUGUGUAGGAUAGGUGGGAGGCUUUGAAGUGUGGACGCCAGUCUGCAUGGAGCCGGCCUUGAAAUACCACCCUUUAAUGUUUGAUGUUCUAACGUUGACCCGU